rnacentral:rRNA from 1 species
UACGGGGGGGGGCAAGCGUUGUUCGGAAUUACUGGGCGUAAAGGGCCAGUAGGCGGCCAACUAAGUCGGAUGUGAAAUCCCCAGGCUCAACUUGGGAACUGCAUCCGAUACUGGAUGGCUUGAAUUCGGGAGAGGGAUGCAGAAUUCCAGGUGUAGCGGUGAAAUGCGCAGAUAUCGGGAGGAACACCGGUGGCGAAGGCGGUUCUCUGGGCCUUACCUGACGCUGAGGAGCGAAAGCGUGGGGAGCGAACAGG